UGGAAUGCCAAAGACCACGAGUCCCC
rnacentral:piRNA from 1 species